rnacentral:rRNA from 1 species
AUUGAACGCUGGCGGCAGGCCUAACACAUGCAAGUCGAGCGAGCGGCGGACGGGUGAGUAAUGUCUGGGAAACUGCCUGAUGGAGGGGGAUAACUACUGGAAACGGUAGCUAAUACCGCAUACCAUCAGAUGUGCCCAGUUGGGAUUCGCUAGUAGGUGGGGUAACGGCUCGCCUAGGCGACGAACCCUAGCUGGUCUGCGAGGAUGACCAGCCACACUGGAACGGAGACACGUUCCAGACUCCGCCGGGAGGCAGCAGUGGGGAAGAUUGCACAAUGGGCGCAAGCCUGAUGCAGCCAUGCCGCGUGUGUGACGAAGGCCGUCGGGUUGUAAAGCACUUUCAGCGGGGAGGCGUUACCCGCAGAAGAAGCACCGGCUAACUCCGUGCCAGCAGCCGCGGUAAUAC